GUUUUCAGUCAUUAUCAACAAAGACAGAAACGUUGAAGGUACUGAGAAGUCUAGUGCUUACAGCUGGUUGCAGCAAUUUCAACUUGCGCAAGACCCCAUGUUUGUGAAAACAACCCAAGAAUCUCUGAACGGGAUGUAAUCAACCUCCCAUCUACUGAGAAACACUGCAAAAAUGACUUCAGCUGCCAAAAAUAAUAAUGUCGUUUACAAGCAGCUCUUUCUAGGUCUAAGGAAGAACUAGCCACACAUGUGAGUUUAUGCUGGAUUCCGACGAGCAAGCAGAGAAGAGGGCAAAGCUUACCUCCCUCCCAUAAAAUACACGGUAUCGGAACCCACGGGAAGCUGGGGCCCGUUUCCAAGGUGCUGGCAAUAUUGAGGGAGAUUCGUAUCCACAGAAAUCUAAACAAUUACAUGAUUUGGUGAUUUGAAGCUGUUAUUGGAAACUUGACUCUAACUGAGCUGGCAGUAUCCAAGAAGAUGAUCUUGGGGUCAAAUAUCACUGGUAAGUGUCAUAAAAUGCUUCAAAGUAUUCCUGUGCUUGUGCAGUUGCUCUAAGGACCUAAAGAGGGAAAUCUUAAAGCAAUGUGCUCUGAUCAAGAAACAGCUGGCAAUGGCAGUGACCUGAUAUGGAGCCGUCAAGAAUUGAAGGUUUAUUUUGAAUGAGAGGUGUUGUCCAGCUGUGAGACUGAGUGAUGGCAGCUGAGAAUAAGUACACAAGCAAUCAUGACUCCAGGCAUGAAGUUUUUGAGACUGUAUCUUGUUUUCCUUCUUUUUCUGCUACUGCAUCCAUACUGCUGCAUUCAAUCCUGUCUGUGGAGGAGGAAUAAAGUUCUUCAGUUUAUUCUUCUUAUUAACGACAGUUUCUGAGCUGUCAUGAUUUGGAAUUAUAAUGAUAAAAAUGGCUCUUUCAGAUAAAAGAAGCAAUAUAUUCCAAAGUCAGAUUAUGUAUUGGACAGGUAAGAAUGCUUCAUCAUUAAAUGGUCUUUAAUAAGCUUUGCCAUUAAUUUUUUAUAUUAGUUGUUCUCCCUUUUCUGUAGUUAUAUAGCUUUGAGCCAAGUCAUUUCAUUCUUCCUGGUUUGUAUGAAGGUUACAAUUUUAUUGCAAUAGACCAUAUGAACUGCUCAAUUAAUUAUUUGUUUUUGAACAAUCUAAAAUUGCAACAUUUUCUAUUUGAUUGCCACUUUAAGAGUUUGCAAAGCACUUUAGAAUGCCUUAUUUAAAUUAAAGUUCACUGCAACAUAAA